UGCCUUAGUAACGGCGAGUGAAGCGGCAAAAGCUCAGAUUUGAAAUCUGGUAUCAUUUUUUGGUGCCCGAGUUGUAAUCUGUAGAGGAGUAUUCGGUUUUGGUCAUGGCUUAAGUUCCUUGGAACAGGACGUCAUGGUGGGUGAGAACCCCGUUUGCGGCCUUUGUCUUCAAAAUCAUGUGAAUCUCCUUCAACGAGUCGAGUUGUUUGGGAAUGCAGCUCUAAAUGGGUGGUAAAUUCCAUCUAAGGCUAAAUAUCUGCAAGAGACCGAUAGCGCACAAGUAGAGUGAUCGAAAGAUGAAAAGAACUCUGAACAGAGAGUUAAAUAGUACGUGAAAUUGUUGAAAGGGAAGCACUUGCUACCAGACGCACUUGCAAUUGAUCAGGCUUGCAUUUUGUAAGCUGCACUCAGUUGUAGGUGGGUCAGCAUCAGUUAUGGCGGUGGGAUAAAGCCUGGAGGAAUGUGGCUCUCUUCGGGGAGUGUUAUAGCCUCUGGUGUAAUACUGCCUGCUAUGACUGAGGAUCGCGCCUUCGGGCGAGGAUGCUGGCAUAAUGGUCGUAAGUGACCCGUCUUGAAACACGGACCAAGGAGUCUAACAUCUAUGCGAGUAUUUGGGCUUUAUAAACCCUUAUGCGAAAUGAAAGUGAAUGGAGGUGGGAACCGCAAGGUGCACCAUCGACCGAUCCUGAUGUCUUCGGAUGGAUUUGAGUAUGAGCAUAGCUGUUGGGACCCGAAAGAUGGUGAACUAUACUUGAAUAGGGUGAAGCCAGAGGAAACUCUGGUGGAGGCUCGCAGCGGUUCUGACGUGCAAAUCGAUCGUCAAAUUUGGGUAUAGGGGCGAAAGACUAAUCGAACCAUCUAGUAGCUGGUUCCGGCCGAAGUUUCCCUCAGGAUAGCAGUAACGAGUUGAAUAGUUUUAUGAGGUAAAGCGAAUGAUUAGAGGCCUUGGGGUUGGAACAACCUUAACCUAUUCUCAAACUUUAAAUAUGUAAGAAGGCCCUGUUGCUUAAUUGAACGGGGUCG
rnacentral:rRNA from 1 species